AGAGUUUGAUCCUGGCUCAGAUUGAACGCUGGCGGCAUGCUUUACACAUGCAAGUCGGACGGCAGCACAGAGAAGCUUGCUUCUUGGGUGGCGAGUGGCGAACGGGUGAGUAAUAUAUCGGAACGUACCGAGUAAUGGGGGAUAACUAAUCGAAAGAUUAGCUAAUACCGCAUAUUCUCUGAGGAGGAAAGCAGGGGACCUUCGGGCCUUGCGUUAUUCGAGCGGCCGAUAUCUGAUUAGCUAGUUGGUGGGGUAAAGGCCUACCAAGGCGACGAUCAGUAGCGGGUCUGAGAGGAUGAUCCGCCACACUGGGACUGAGACACGGCCCAGACUCCUACGGGAGGCAGCAGUGGGGAAUUUUGGACAAUGGGCGCAAGCCUGAUCCAGCCAUGCCGCGUGUCUGAAGAAGGCCUUCGGGUUGUAAAGGACUUUUGUCAGGGAAGAAAAGGCUGUUGCUAAUAUCGACAGCUGAUGACGGUACCUGAAGAAUAAGCACCGGCUAACUACGUGCCAGCAGCCGCGGUAAUACGUAGGGUGCGAGCGUUAAUCGGAAUUACUGGGCGUAAAGCGAGCGCAGACGGUUACUUAAGCAGGAUGUGAAAUCCCCGGGCUCAACCUGGGAACUGCGUUCUGAACUGGGUGACUAGAGUGUGUCAGAGGGAGGUAGAAUUCCACGUGUAGCAGUGAAAUGCGUAGAGAUGUGGAGGAAUACCGAUGGCGAAGGCAGCCUCCUGGGAUAACACUGACGUUCAUGCUCGAAAGCGUGGGUAGCAAACAGGAUUAGAUACCCUGGUAGUCCACGC
rnacentral:rRNA from 1 species